CUAACAUCAUAUUUUUUUUUUUUAGGUAUCUCUCGAGAUAAAUGGCACAAGCGUCGCGCCACUGGUGGUCGUAUGCCAUGCGUACGAAAGAAGAGAAAGUUCGAAUUGGGUCGUCCACCAGCACACACAAAGCUUGGUGCGAAAAGAAUUCACACAAUUCGUACCAUGGGCGG
rnacentral:sRNA from 1 species